rnacentral:rRNA from 1 species
CCUACGGGGGGCUACAGUGGGGAAUAUUGGACAAUGGGGGGAACCCUGAUCCAGCCAUGCCGCGUGUGUGAAGAAGGCCCUCGGGUUGUAAAGCACUUUCAGUGAGGAAGAACGCCUGGUGGUUAAUACCCAUCAGGAAAGACAUCACUCACAGAAGAAGCACCGGCUAACUCCGUGCCAGCAGCCGCGGUAAUACGGAGGGUGCGAGCGUUAAUCGGAAUUACUGGGCGUAAAGCGCGCGUAGGUGGCUUGAUAAGCCGGUUGUGAAAGCCCCGGGCUCAACCUGGGAACGGCAUCCGGAACUGUCAAGCUAGAGUGCAGGAGAGGAAGGUAGAAUUCCCGGUGUAGCGGUGAAAUGCGUAGAGAUCGGGAGGAAUACCAGUGGCGAAGGCGGCCUUCUGGACUGACACUGACACUGAGGUGCGAAAGCGUGGGUAGCAAACAGGAUUAGAUACCCUUGUAGUC